AGCAGCCGCGGUAAUUCCAGCUCCAAUAGCGUAUAUUAAAGUUGUUGCAGUUAAAAAGCUCGUAGUUGAAUUUCGGGAUCAAUACGUCGGUCGUGCUUUCGGGUACGUACUGGCGUCAUUGGUUUCUCCUUUCUGACGAACCAUGAUGUCAUUAAUUUGGUGUUAUGGGGAGUUAGGACUGUUACUUUGAAAAAAUUAGAGUGUUUAAAGCAGGCAUUAGCUUGAAUACAUUAGCAUGGAAUAAUGAAAUAGGACGUUCGAUCCUAUUUUGUUGGUUUCUAGGAUCAACGUAAUGAUUAAUAGGGAUAGUUGGGGGCAUUAGUAUUCAAUUGUCAGAGGUGAAAUUCUUGGAUUUAUUGAAGACUAACUACUGCGAAAGCAUUUGCCAAGGAUGUUUUCAUUAAUCAAGAACGAAAGUUAGGGGAUCGAAGACGAUCAGAUACCGUCGUAGUCUUAACCAUAAACUAUGCCGACUAGGGAUCGGAUGAUGUUAAUUUUUAAUGACUCAUUCGGCGCCUUA
rnacentral:rRNA from 1 species